rnacentral:tRNA from 1 species
ACUUGAAUAGCUUAUUUUUAGAGCGCGACACUGAAGAUGUCGAUGAGGUAUUCAAUACCUUUAAGUA